rnacentral:rRNA from 1 species
GUCGAACGCGUUGGCCCAAUUGAUUGAUGGUGCUUGCACCUGAUUGAUUCUGUUCGCCAACGAGUGGCGGACGGGUGAGUAACACGUAGGUAACCUGCCCAGAAGCGGGGGACAACAUUUGGAAACAGAUGCUAAUACCGCAUAACAGCGUUGUUCGCAUGAACAACGCUUAAAAGAUGGCUUCUCGCUAUCACUUCUGGAUGGACCUGCGGUGCAUUAGCUUGUUGGUGGGGUAACGGCCUACCAAGGCGAUGAUGCAUAGCCGAGUUGAGAGACUGAUCGGCCACAAUGGGACUGAGACACGGCCCAUACUCCUACGGGAGGCAGCAGUAGGGAAUCUUCCACAAUGGGCGCAAGCCUGAUGGAGCAACACCGCGUGAGUGAAGAAGGGUUUCGGCUCGUAAAGCUCUGUUGUUAAAGAAGAACACGUAUGAGAGUAACUGUUCAUACGUUGACGGUAUUUAACCAGAAAGUCACGGCUAACUACGUGCCAGCAGCCGCGGUAAUACGUAGGUGGCAAGCGUUAUCCGGAUUUAUUGGGCGUAAAGAGAGUGCAGGCGGUUUUCUAAGUCUGAUGUGAAAGCCUUCGGCUUAACCGGAGAAGUGCAUCGGAAACUGGAUAACUUGAGUGCAGAAGAGGGUAGUGGAACUCCAUGUGUAGCGGUGGAAUGCGUAGAUAUAUGGAAGAACACCAGUGGCGAAGGCGGCUACCUGGUCUGCAACUGACGCUGAGACUCGAAAGCAUGGGUAGCGAACAGGAUUAGAUACCCUGGUAGUCCAUGCCGUAAACGAUGAGUGCUAGGUGUUGGAGGGUUUCCGCCCUUCAGUGCCGGAGCUAACGCAUUAAGCACUCCGCCUGGGGAGUACGACCGCAAGGUUGAAACUCAAAGGAAUUGACGGGGGCCCGCACAAGCGGUGGAGCAUGUGGUUUAAUUCGAAGCUACGCGAAGAACCUUACCAGGUCUUGACAUCUUGCGCCAACCCUAGAGAUAGGGCGUUUCCUUCGGGAACGCAAUGACAGGUGGUGCAUGGUCGUCGUCAGCUCGUGUCGUGAGAUGUUGGGUUAAGUCCCGCAACGAGCGCAACCCUUGUUACUAGUUGCCAGCAUUAAGUUGGGCACUCUAGUGAGACUGCCGGUGACAAACCGGAGGAAGGUGGGGACGACGUCAGAUCAUCAUGCCCCUUAUGACCUGGGCUACACACGUGCUACAAUGGACGGUACAACGAGUCGCGAACUCGCGAGGGCAAGCAAAUCUCUUAAAACCGUUCUCAGUUCGGACUGCAGGCUGCAACUCGCCUGCACGAAGUCGGAAUCGCUAGUAAUCGCGGAUCAGCAUGCCGCGGUGAAUACGUUCCCGGGCCUUGUACACACCGCCCAUCACACCAUGAGAGUUUGUAACACCCAAAGUCGGUGGGGUAA